rnacentral:rRNA from 1 species
GACGAACGCUGGCGGCGUGCUUAACACAUGCAAGUCGAACGAUGAAGCCGGAGCUUGCUCUGGUGGAUUAGUGGCGAACGGGUGAGUAACACGUGAGUAACCUGCCCUUGACUCUGGGAUAAGCGUUGGAAACGACGUCUAAUACCGGAUACGAGCUAGGACCGCAUGGUCACUAGCUGGAAAGAAUUUCGGUCAAGGAUGGACUCGCGGCCUAUCAGUUAGUUGGUGAGGUAACGGCUCACCAAGACGACGACGGGUAGCCGGCCUGAGAGGGUGACCGGCCACACUGGGACUGAGACACGGCCCAGACUCCUACGGGAGGCAGCAGUGGGGAAUAUUGCACAAUGGGCGCAAGCCUGAUGCAGCAACGCCGCGUGAGGGACGACGGCCCUCGGGUUGUAAACCUCUUUUAGCAGGGAAGAAGCGCAAGUGACGGUACCUGCAGAAAAAGCACCGGCUAACUACGUGCCAGCCGCCGCCGUAA